rnacentral:rRNA from 1 species
CAGUCGCCACGGUAAUACGGAGGGCGCGAGCGUUACCCGGAUUUACUGGGCGUAAAGGGCGUGUAGGCGGCCUGGGGCGUCCCAUGUGAAAGGCCACGGCUCAACCGUGGAGGAGCGUGGGAUACGCUCAGGCUAGAGGGUGGGAGAGGGUGGCGGAAUUCCCGGAGUAGCGGUGAAAUGCGCAGAUACCGGGAGGAACGCCGAUGGCGAAGGCAGCCACCUGGUCCACUUCUGACGCUGAGGCGCGAAAGCGUGGGGAGCAAACCGGAUUAGAUACCCCAGUAGUCCCUGUCUCUUAUAC